AUGGAGACGUGUUUUCUUCUCAGCAUUUGGAUCUUCAGUCUCCUAGGCUCUGCGCUGGGCGAGUCGGUCAAAUCCAACGAACCCGAAGUGCCUGGAUCAGUUGGAGGUUCUGUGACACUCAGCUGUUCUUACACCACCAGCGAUAGCUUUGUCUAUCUCUAUUGGUACCGUCAGUAUCCGAACCAAGCCCCGCAGUACAUUCUCUGGAGAGGAGCGAAGUCCGCCAGCGGUACCAGCCACACUGCAGAUUUCGCCCAGCAGAGGUUUUCUUCCCAGGUUAAUGACAGCUCCACAGUUCUGAACAUCGCAGCUCUGGAGCUGGCAGACACCGCGGUGUAUCUCUGCGCCCUGCGUCUGGCACAGUGA